GCUCCGGUGGCUUAGUGUUUAGAGCGUCUGCCUCGGAUGCUGGUGGUCGUGGGUUCAAACCUCAGCCGAGUCA